AUUGAACGCUGGUGGCAGGCCUAACACAUGCAAGUCGAGCGGAUGACGGGAGCUUGCUCCUCGAUUCAGCGGCGGACGGGUGAGUAAUACCUAGGAAUCUGCCUGAUAGUGGGGGACAACGUUUCGAAAGGAACGCUAAUACCGCAUACGUCCUACGGGAGAAAGCAGGGGACCUUCGGGCCUUGCGCUAUCAGAUGAGCCUAGGUCGGAUUAGCUAGUUGGUGAGGUAAUGGCUCACCAAGGCGACGAUCCGUAACUGGUCUGAGAGGAUGAUCAGUCACACUGGAACUGAGACACGGUCCAGACUCCUACGGGAGGCAGCAGUGGGGAAUAUUGGACAAUGGGCGAAAGCCUGAUCCAGCCAUGCCGCGUGUGUGAAGAAGGUCUUCGGAUUGUAAAGCACUUUAAGUUGGGAGGAAGGGCAGUAAGCUAACACCUUGCUGUUUUGACGUUACCGACAGAAUAAGCACCGGCUAACUCUGUGCCAGCCGCCGCCGUAAGAC
rnacentral:rRNA from 1 species